rnacentral:rRNA from 1 species
AUUGAACGCUGGCGGUAUGCUUAACACAUGCAAGUCGAACGGUAGCAUGGUUCGUAGCAAUACGAACUGAUGACAAGUGGCGGACGGGUGAGUAACGCGUAGGAAUCUGCCUUAGAGAGGGGGACAACCCGAGGAAACUCGGGCUAAUACCGCAUAAACUCGAGAGAGAAAAGCUGGGUUUACCUGGCGCUUUAAGAGGAGCCUGCGUCCGAUUAGCUAGUUGGUUAGGUAAAGGCUGACCAAGGCGAUGAUCGGUAACUGGUCUGAGAGGAUGACCAGUCACACUGGGACUGAGACGCGGCCCAGACUCCUACGGGAGGCAGCAGUGGGGAAUAUUGGACAAUGGGGGGAACCCUGAUCCAGCAAUACCGCGUGUGUGAAGAAGGCCUUCGGGUUGUAAAGCACUUUAGUUGGGGAAGAAGUUGUGUAUUUUAAGAGAUAACACGAUUGACGGUACCCAAAGAAUAAGCACCGGCUAACUCUGUGCCAGCAGCCGCCGUAAUAC